rnacentral:rRNA from 1 species
AAGCUCGUAGUUGAAUUUCGAGAUCAGUACGCUGGUCGUGCCUUCGGUAUGCACUGGUGCCACUGGUUUCUCCCUUCUGAAGAACCGUCAUGCCAUUCAGUUGGUGUGGCGGGGAAUCAGGACUGUUACUUUGAAAAAAUUAGAGUGUUUAAAGCAGGCUCGCGCUUGAAUACAUUAGCAUGGAAUAAUGAAAUAGGACGUUUGACCCUAUUUUGUUGGUUUCUAGGAUCGACGUAAUGAUUAAUAGGGAUAGUUGGGGGCAUUAGUAUUCAAUUGUCAGAGGUGAAAUUCUUGGAUUUAUUGAAGACUAACUACUGCGAAAGCAUUUGCCAAGGAUGUUUUCAUUAAUCAAGAACGAAAGUUAGGGGAUCGAAGACGAUCAGAUACCGUCGUAGUCUUAACCAUAAACUAUGCCGACUAGGGAUCGGAUGAUGUUAAUUUUUUAAUGACUCAUUCGGCGCCUUACGGGAAACCAAAGUGUUUGGGUUCCGGGGGGAGUAUGGUCGCAAGGCUGAAACUUAAAGGAAUUGACGGAAGGGCACCACCAGGGGUGGAGCCUGCGGCUUAAUUUGACUCAACACGGGGAAA